ACCCUCAUCUUAGGAACUCAGAGAGUGGGUGACAACCAUUUGAAUGGUGCAAAAAAAAAUCAUGCAAAACCCAUUUGUGCAUGAGGGGAGUGGUCGGCAUUAAGGGAAGAGUCCAACUAGUUUUGGACUCUAGUUUCUCAUUCAAGUUCAAACCUUUUUCAACUCAAAUAAAAACUAACCUCAUCCAGAAUCAAAAGGGAUUAGAUGUGGGUGCAAAUCCACUUUUGGGCAUGAAAAAAAAUUUAUGCAAAGACACUUCUCAUGUGAGGAAAAAAUGGGCACAG
rnacentral:lncRNA from 1 species